rnacentral:rRNA from 1 species
GACGAACGCUGGCGGCGUGCCUAAUACAUGCAAGUCGAACGCAGUGGGGACGGGUGAGUAACACGUGGGUAACCUCCCAUCAGAGGGGAUAACACUUGGAAACAGGUGCUAAACCGAUAUUGAUGGAUGGACCCGCGGUGCAUUAGGUAGUUGGUGAGGUAACGGCUCACCAAGGCCACGAUGCAUAGCCGGUCGGAUGGAGUAAUCGGCCAAACGGGAACUGGAACACGGCCAAGACCCGAAAGGGAGUGAGCAGUGGGGAAUCUUGUGCAAUGGACGAAAGUCUGACCGAGCAACGCCGCGGGAGUGAAGAGGGUUGUCGGGUCGUAAAACUCUGUUGUUAGAGAAGCGGUACCUAACCAGAAAGCCACGGCUAACUCCGUGCCAGCAGCCGCGGUAAUAC